rnacentral:ncRNA from 1 species
UAUCUGGUUGAUCCUGCCAGUGAUCAUAUGCUUGUCUCAAAGCUUAAGCCAUGCAAGUCUAAGUUCAGGCUUGUUCCUUUCGGGGAGCGAGCCGAAACUGCGAACGGCUCAUUAGUCAGAUAAGGUUCCUUGGCUAAAAGCGGGUCGGUUUUAAUGGAUAACUGUGGUAAUUCUAGAGCUAAUACAUGCAACGCACCGUGGUCCCCGUAGUCUUCUCGUCUCGGGGAAACGGCAUUUAUUCUCUGGACCAGAUCGCCCUAGCCUGCGAAGCUACCGUCAAAAGUAGCGACGGGGCGAAGCGACAAGUGUUGAAAUCCGAAUAACUGUGCCGAUCGCGGGGUCUUUCCGGGCCCCCGACGACUUUGCCAUGAAGUGUCUGUCCCAUCAAUUGGCGAUGGUCGGCGACCUGCCUACCACGGUGUUGACGGGUAACGGGGAAUCAGGGUUCGAUUCCGGAGAGGGAGCCUGCGAAACGGCUACCACCUCCAAGGAGGGCAGCAGGCGCGCAACUUACCCAAUCCCGACACGGGGAGGUAGUGACGAAAAAUAACGUGNCGGGGCCCUUUCGUGGUCGCCGCGGGCGGAAUGAGCGCAAUUUAAAAGAGUGUGCGAGGAGCUAUUGGAGGGCAAGCCUGGUGCCAGCAGCCGCGGUAAUUCCAGCUCCAAUAGCCUAUAUCGGAGUUGCUGCGGUUAAAAAGCUCGUCGUUGGAUCUCGGAGGCGGCACGGUCGGGCGCGAUACGCUGCGGGUCCGACCGGCGAUUUCUCGGCCGUCCCUAACCAGCGCGCGGGGCGAGGUGGACUUCGCGGUCCUGCCUCGUUUUUCUCCUUCACGGGAGAGAACCCGCCGCAUUUUCUGUCUACCUUGAAAAAAUUAGAGUGCUAAAGGCAGGCUAAAACCCCGAGCCUGAAUAUUUCGUGCAUGGAAUAAGCGGGGAUGCUCUUUUCCGGAGGGCGGUCCGACCGACUGGCGACGUCGCUUUCGCUGUCGGUUUCGCCGGAGAGCUAGGAUUCGAGAGGAACGGUGGGGGGCGAGCGUACCGGGCGGGGAGAGGUGAAAUUUUGUGAUCCGCUCGGGACGACUCGAAGCGAAAGCGCUGGCCCCGGACGUCUUCCUUAAUCCAGAACGAAGGUGGGUGGAGCAAAGACGAUCAGAUACCGUCGUAGUACCGACGGUAAACGCUGCCGACCGGGCCGCGGACGAGGCUCGAGAACAGCGGUUAUGGACCCGUCCGUGGCGGCUUCGGGCAACCUGAGAGUUUACGGUUCCG